AUGAUGUAGUUUUACCAAUUAAUCAAUCAAAUUUUAUUUAUAUAGCGCCAAAUCAUAGCAAAGUUACCUCAUGGCACUUCACAUAUAAAGCUGGUCGAGACCAGACUCUUGAGCCAAUUUACAGCACCCAACAGAAUCCUCCAGGAGUCAACAGUAGUG